CCUCAUCGCCGCUGCCUCUGAAAACUCUGUCAGGGGCAGAAGAAAAAUGACCCAGGUCCCUAACUGAAGUCAGGGCCUGUGGCUGCGGGUGGACACGGGGACUGCCUGGGGUGGAGGCUGCGUGAUUUUUCAGGAAGGUGCUCCAAGCUUGCACAAGUACUGACCACAUAGUGGCUGAAGCUGCAGAUCCAGGGUUAACACUGAGUUUGAGAGACUCUCCAGAGUCUGCAAGUCAACCACCUAAGGGGUCUUACACAUGCACUUCUACGGCAGGAGGAAGAGGAGAUUGUCCCAUGGCUGUUAAAUUCUCCUGCCAGGAGGUGACACACACCAUUCUGCUCAGCGUCAGCUAAUCCUCUAGGAGUCCCUGCAGGAAAGGCUGCUGAGUCCAGCUCUUGACACGUCCAGUAUUAAAAUGUGCUAGAACCAUCAGAAGACACAGAAGCAAGUUACAGAGCAGCUUUAACCCGGGACAACUCGAAGCCAUCAAUAGUGCAGGAGCCUGGGACUGCUUUCUGACCCUACUUAUGCAGAAUAUCUCUCCCGUCCCAGCACACAAGGUCCCAGCACAGAAAGCUACUGGCCUGCGUCCUCUUCUAAUAAGCAGUGGACGUGAAGGAAACAGGACAAGACUCCAGCCCACUUCCUGCUCACGCCCCUCCCCGUGUCAUCUGGGCAGUUUCUCCAGAGAAAGGAGAGCCUGAGAAGGCUGGCCCUGCUCCCCACAUGUCCCCAGUCUGCCCACAUCUGGCUCCAUACCCAGAGUGGCAAACCAGCACACAUCAUAAAA